rnacentral:rRNA from 1 species
CCUACGGGUGGCAGCAGUGGGGAAUAUUGGACAAUGGGCGAAAGCCUGAUCCAGCCAUGCCGCGUGUGUGAAGAAGGCCUUCGGGUUGUAAAGCACAUUCAGUGGGGAAGAAAGCCUUGGGGCUAAUACCCUCGAGGAAGGACAUCACCCACAGAAGAAGCACCGGCUAACUCCGUGCCAGCAGCCGCGGUAAUACGGAGGGUGCGAGCGUUAAUCGGAAUUACUGGGCGUAAAGCGCGCGUAGGCGGUCUGAUAAGCCGGUUGUGAAAGCCCCGGGCUCAACCUGGGAACGGCAUCCGGAACUGUCAGGCUAGAGUGCAGGAGAGGAAGGUAGAAUUCCCGGUGUAGCGGUGAAAUGCGUAGAGAUCGGGAGGAAUACCAGUGGCGAAGGCGGCCUUCUGGACUGACACUGACGCUGAGGUGCGAAAGCGUGGGUAGCAAACAGGAUUAGAUACCCCAGUAGUC